rnacentral:rRNA from 1 species
UACGUAGGGACCAAGCGUUGUCCGGAAUCAUUGGGCGUAAAGCGCGCGUAGGUGGCUUCGUAAGUCCGUUGUGAAAGUCAAAGGCUCAACCUUUGAAAGCCGAUGGAUACUGCGAAGCUAGAGUACGGAAGAGGCGAGUGGAAUUCCUGGUGUAGCGGUGGAAUGCGCAGAUAUCAGGAGGAACACCGGUGGCGAAGGCGGUUCUCUGGGCAUUACCUGACGCUGAGGAGCGAAAGUGUGGGGAGCGAACAGG